CGAUAUUUUGGGGGGCCCUAAAAGUUGGCUUUUUGUUCGGAUCAAAAUUUGAGAAAAUGUUCUUCAUGAAAGUCGUAGAGGACGUUAAAUCGAGUUCGUGGACAUGUAGUUUGUUUAAAUCCGAAUUUUGACGGGAAAGUUAUGACUUAAAAAUAAGAGUUACUAUAUUUAGUUUGGGUUUUAUUUAAGUGAUUUCCAUUUUGGGAAGAGAGAGAAAAGUGACAGAUCAAGGAAAAAUCGGGACAAGCCCGAGCUCUCCCUCCCCCUUUCUUUUUCUCUCGCCGCCGGCCUUCUCCCACAAAAUUCAUCGCCGUCCGGCCACCACAGGACGAAUCGUUUGGCAUGGCGUGAUCCUCUCCUCCUUCUCUACCUAUUCAUUUCCGGCCGGAUUUCUUUGGGUUUUUGGUGGCUGGGACGAUGCUAACCUUCAUCCCUAACCUCUUGCAGCUUGUUUUGAUUGGUGGAGGAAGAUUUGAAGCUGUUUGAGACUGUGAACACUCAUUUUGACCCAAGGAAGAAGAAUUGAAGGUGAGGGUGAUGAUGAACAGUAACUGGCCGGAUUUCAUGUCUUUGGGUUGAAAUUCCGGCCACUUCCACUUGCUUUUGGUUGUUGUUGCAGGAUGUACUGAACCCUCGAGUGAAAAGGAGCCGAGCAGGCAGCAGGAUUAGCUACGAGAUUCACCUGUUGCAGGCCAGUUUAGCUUGAGGUCGAGCGUACAUGAGGUUGAGGCAUAGCUGUCAUAGCUUCCGCAUUAUAAAAGUAUCGGCCCUUUAUCUUGUAUUCUACCUUCUUGUACGCCUGUACAAUAGAUUGCUCUGAUAACUCUUGAGAUUAAUAUUCUUAAGUUCAGAAUUGUUUGUGAAAUUGGGAGGUGUUGUGAUUUAGGGAGCAUGGUGGCUCCAGAAGAUUAAGGGUGGAUUAUUUUAGAAGUGUAAAUGUCUUUCUACAGGUUUUUGGGUAGUCCACUUUUAGAGGGAGUUCCGCCAAAUUUUUGGUAGAAUUUCUUCUAAGGUGGGCCCCGCAGGGCCACUUCGGAUUUCAAGGUGAAAUCCGGGGCGGGUCCUGUCAAUAGUGUAGAAUCGUCUAGAUUAGGAUUUGAUUAAGUUUCGUUGUACGAUUAAAAUUUUAUACUUAUAAUCUUCUAUAUAAAGAUGCUUAUAUUAUCAAUUA